GACGAACGCUGGCGGCGUGCUUAACACAUGCAAGUCGAGCGAUGAAGUUCCUUCGGGAACGGAUUAGCGGCGGACGGGUGAGUAACACGUGGGUAACCUGCCUCAUAGAGGGGAAUAGCCUUCCGAAAGGAAGAUUAAUACCGCAUAAGAUUGUAGUUUCGCAUGAAACAGCAAUUAAAGGAGUAAUCCGCUAUGAGAUGGACCCGCGUCGCAUUAGCUAGUUGGUGAGGUAACGGCUCACCAAGGCGACGAUGCGUAGCCGACCUGAGAGGGUGAUCGGCCACAUUGGGACUGAGACACGGCCCAGACUCCUACGGGAGGCAGCAGUGGGGAAUAUUGCACAAUGGGGGAAACCCUGAUGCAGCAACGCCGCGUGAGUGAUGACGGUCUUCGGAUUGUAAAACUCUGUCUUCAGGGACGAUAAUGACGGUACCUGAGGAGGAAGCCACGGCUAACUACGUGCCAGCCGCCGCGGUAAAAC
rnacentral:rRNA from 1 species